GGCAGCAGUCCCAGACAGCCCCAUGGUGCCCAGGCAGAGCCCCGGGGCUUUAGGCCAGCUCCUGAGAAUGACCACAAUUGUCUGAAAAGCAGGAGGCUCCCUGGAAGACCCGGCACAUUGCUGGCACCCGCUUGCCUCUCCCUCCUGGUCUGGUGCCUCCCUGCACAGGUAACAUCUCAAUUCACCCACCAAAGGCGUGAGAAGCGUGGACAGCUGGGAUCCUGACCGGUGGAACAAGGGAGGCUGCUGAGAGGACAGGCGUUCCCUGCAGUGUCACACGUGGACAAAGGAGCCUGGACAGAGGGCAUGGCCCCGCGUCCUUUCCCACGCAUUUGGCCCAGGCUCAGAGCAAGCCAGAUGCCAGAGCACCAGCCGGGUGGGCAGAGUGCAUGGCCUGCUCCUUUGCCUUUCACUUCCUGCAUGCCAGGCUCCUGGUGCUACAGCGCAGACCCUCCACAUGUCCUGGGGCAGCACCCCCUCUGCCCUCUGUGCCCCUGGGGGACUCAGCCCCCGGGAGUGAACUGGGCUCCUGCAGAUGCAGCAGCCUGGAGAACCCAGGGCGGAGGGGGUGUCUCCGUCUGUCCCUGACUUGUGUUCCUAGCCUCUUCCCUCUGUCCUGCGGUAGAUGAUCCAUCCCCUCCCCCAUUCCCAUUCUGAACCCUGAGCCCCAGGAGAUCAGAGUGUGACCAUAAUUGGAGACAGGGUCUUUAAAGCAGUGACUGGGUUGGAUCAGGUCUUCAGGGGGUCCUACCCAGUCUGACUGGGCGACACAGACACACAGAGGGUGACCUUGCACCUUGCAAGGACACAGGGAGAAGGUGCCGCCUAUGAGCCCAGACACCAAACCCGCCUGCUCCUUGGCCUUGGCCUUCCAGCCUCGGAAUGGUGCGAAACACACUUCCAUUUCCGUGCGGAAGUCACCAGGCUGCUGCUGUGUCCUCCGGCCCUCAGGAGGUAGCAGACCUGCUUCCUUGCCUGGAGCCGGCGGCAGCUGUCCGUCUGUUCCUCUUGGGUGCCUGGCAUCCCCGCAGCUCCAGCCCCACGACCGAUGCCCUCACUGCGUGGUGUGACCCAGCCUCACCUCUGUCUCAAUGGGACCCCAACGCCACCUCUGCUGUUUCAGGACACGGUGUGAGCACGCUGUGGGGAAGGGCCAGGCCGCCAGCCAGGGACCGUGGGACAGGGCGCCGGACAGCAGCCGGCCCCUGACUGACAGAGGAGCAAACACAGAUGUGCGGCUCGUGCCCGAGGUCAGGAGCUCAUGUCCCAGCAGGGUUUGGAUGCAAAUACGAGCUCCCGAGUCUUCUCUCGGUGCUUCCUAUGGCGCCUGUGACUGGCUCCAGGUGUUCUCCUCGCCCGCGUUUUGGGUGACGGGGUGGACGCGGGGUGCCGUGGAGGAGGCCUCCUCCUGAGAGCGGCACUGGCCCCGUAACUGACAGCUGUGCCCUUUUAGGGGUCCGGAUGUGAGAACCCUGCUCCACUCAGGCCGCGCACAGGCCAGCACCUCGCGGAGCCCCAGAGAGGGCGGAGCUUGCCAAGGCCGGAACAGUGCCCUGCGCCCCUUCCUCUGGGGCACGGCUCACGGCCUCCUGCUGCCGGUCCUUCCUGGGGGCCUGCGCUCCUGUCCAUCAUUAACGACGCUGAAAUUCGAAUUUCAUGUAACUUUACUCUGCUGCAAAUAGAUGCUCUUAAAGAUUUCUCUUCUCAGCUAAGACUGGAAAAACCUUUCUCAGCUCCAGGACAGACGGCAACGGGCAGGGGCGGAGUCGGGCUGUGUCCACCCCGCUGCGGGCAGUUAAAACAGUCAUCAGGAAGAUGGCAGUGGGGAGCGAUUAACGAGAUGAAACAGAUGUGUCCUUGGUGGUUUUCCUGGCCGCUCCGAGUGGACCUGAGCUGUGGACAGCACAGCGUCGUUCUGGGGAAGGGGCUGGAAAAACCUUCGGAGAUGCGUACCCGGGCCAUCAACCCCUCCCAAGCACUGGCGGCCCAAGAAGAGACUGGAAAGCGGGCAUAAGGCCCAGCGGCGCUGUCCUCCAUGGGCUCCGCUCACUGGCGAAGUCAGUUAACCCAUGUGGCUUCCACCAGCUCCCCCAAAAUGGGGGUCACAGGUGCUGAUCCACAGGAAGGCAUGCGCCAAAUCUGAGAUUGGCCCUGUGAGCUGGAGACACCAGGUGCCUCUUCCCAUCAUAAAUAAAACACCUGCACGGCAGCCAGGCGCUGAGUGGACGCCAGGAGAUUUCCCAUGGUGGAAAGACCUAGCUUUAGGGUCCCACCCUUCCUUCUUACCUCCCACUGCAACCUGAGCCGCACACAGGUCUGGUGUUGGGUCA